GUCUGCUGGUUUAUGAAGAAUGAUCUCUUCAUCUUACCACACAUCAUGCACAAUGAAAAGCUGGGUGCCUCCUUUCUGACAAAGAUGAGGAGAUCCUCCUGAAAGUUUUGCAUUCCUUCCUCUCUUUUAAUUCCUUUAACCUCUUUUAGCAUCUUUUGCCCAUCUUUUCGGGGGAUUAGCAGCACUUGAAAGGCUUAGUCCCAACACUACAGUUUUGCAUAUAAAACCCCAAGCAAUCUAUAAAGAGCAAAGAACUGGUUUUGGAUAUCAAAAACCUUUUCAAUCCCUCUUUUAUCUCUUUUAUAUGAAAACAUGGUCUGCAUUUCAGCUUUUCUGGCAUGCCUAUGUAAUAUGCACAUUCAGGUUUUUGUAUCUCAUAAAAAUGGUUGAAUGGUAGUUAACUUAGUAUAUUAAAAAAAAUUCAUUCAACUGUUGGUGGGGUGAGGGGAGGAAAGGAUAUAUGGUGAGUGUAGUCUCUGCAUAAUUAUGUAACUAAGAAAAUUUUCUUGUGAAUAUUUUGGUUAUGGAUAUUCAUGUUAUCCUUGGAAGUUAUUGCCGCUUGUGGUGGUGUCUUUUACUUUCAUCAUAUUCUUGAAGGAGCUUUUGUUCAAGUUGUGCUUACUAUACAGUAGUUAUCUAUAAUUAUGGCUUGUCAGGAUGUUAUUUUAUAUUUCUGGGUGCGCUUGCUAUUAUUUUAGCGUAUCACGUUUCUUUUAAUGGAAGAAAAAAUGGUUUGUUUAAAUAAACUUCGUGAAGGGAUAAUUACUUCACUGUAUUUCUUGUUCAGCUUCUGAGUGCUCGGGA
rnacentral:misc_RNA from 1 species